rnacentral:rRNA from 1 species
UACGGGGGGAGCAAGCGUUGUUCGGAUUUACUGGGCGUAAAGGGCGCGUAGGCGGUCGUGACAAGUCACUUGUGAAAUCUCCGGGCUUAACUCGGAACGGUCAAGUGAUACUGUCGGACUAGAGUACAGAAGGGGCAACUGGAAUUCUCGGUGUAGCGGUGAAAUGCGUAGAUAUCGGAAGGAACGCCGGUGGCGAAAGCGACGCACUGGACCUCUUCUGACGCUGAGGCGCGAAAGCCAGGGGAGCAAACGGG